CAAAAAGGAGCAGAAAGCAAAGAGAGGAAGAAGCUAGAAGGGGUGAUCAAGCAAAAAGGUGUGAAAAAAGAAGGAUCUUCUUCAGCAUCAAGCUUAGGAAAGCAAGAGCUUCUUUGCUUAAAUAGGAGAGCAUGUAUGGCAUUGUACCGCCCCUGCGUGAGACACAACCAAGAGGAGAGAAAAGUGAGAAGGAGGGGAAAGUAGGAAGGAGAGAAGAGAAGAGAAGAGAAAGGAAGCCAUGGAAAGGGCUGGAAUUUCCUGUUAGCGAUGAAGCCCUGAAGAUCCCAAUCUUCCCUGUCUACUUCCCUGCUUCUUCUCCUUAAGCUAAUCGGUGACAAAGUCUAGUUCUUCCCUGUCUUAAUUCUUUGCUUACUUGCUGUUGUGUGUAACCUGAAUCUGAGAUCUAAGUGAUGUAAUCUUUCCUUUUCUAGUGAAAUUGUGCUGAGAUCUAUGUUGUUUUGUGUACUUCAUGAUCAUGUUCUUGCUGUUGAAUUCUAGUUAAAAUUCAGUCAAAGUGUUCAAGUCUCUGUGUUUGUGCUGUUUAAUCUGUGAUUCAGUUUAUAUCUCCUCAGAUCUGAACUCUUCCCUGUCUAAAACAUCUUGCUUUUUUCCCUUUCUAAGUAAUCUGCUUGCUGUAGUUGAUUUUGUUGCUUAAGUUAGUGUUAAAUCUUCAACUUUAUAAACCAAAAAACACCAAAAACAUAAGUUAUUGUAGCUAUCACUUUGUUUUAGUUCUGAAUUUGCAACCAAAACAAUAUGUGAGGCUAGCUUUGAGAAGUUGUUGUGACUCAGAACUCACUCCCUGUGGAGAACCGACAAAACGCUACUAUAUUUGCACUGGUCAGAGGCGGUGAGUUUUUUUUACAUACCACCGCCACCAAUUGCCUCAUUAUAGGAGUAGUGAUAAUGAAUGGAUGGCAGACAGCUUUUAAAAACAACACCUCCUUCUAUAUUACUCCACUUCAUAAAACAAGAUGAAGUGAAAAGACAAAUAGAAGAUAAAAUUGCCAAAAUACUGCUCUCCAGACAGGCAAACACUAUCGACGUCUCGAUGCCAAAUUAAUAUCUUAUACUCCUUACAAGUUUGUCUUAUACAAGCUGCAUCAGGCCAGAUUCGUUCACCGAUUCUUCAUUUUUUGUUCAAAAGUGCAGAACCUAAUUUUCAGAUCUCCGAGCCAGAGGCCCAUUGCAAGUGCCUGUUCAGAGUUUUGACAGCGCGAUGUCCAUCACAUCAACGAAAAAAUCUGCAUUCAUUACCAAGUAGGAACAUUAAUAUCUGCCUAAAUGUUAUACAACACAGGAAUCCAACUGGAUGGAGCAACCUACCAGCGUCUUCCUUGGUGAAGCACAGAG
rnacentral:lncRNA from 1 species